GACGAACGCUGGCGGCAGGCCUAACACAUGCAAGUCGAGCGAGCGGCGGACGGGUGAGUAAUGCAUGGGGAUCUGCCCGAUAGAGGGGGAUAACUACUGGAAACGGGGGCUAAUAACGCAUACUGUCGGAUGACCCAUAUGGGCUUAGCUAGUAGGUAAGGUAAUGGAGUACCUAGGCGACGAUCCCUUGCUGGUAUGAGAGGAUGAUCAGCCCCACUGGGACUGAGACACGGCCCAGACUCCUACGGGAGGCAGCAGUGGGGAAUCUUCCGCAAUGGACGAAAGUCUGACGGAGCAACGCCGCGUGAGUGAUGACGGCCUUCGGGUUGUAAAGCUCUGUUAAUCGGGACGCGGUACCGGAAUAGAAAGCCACGGCUAACUACGUGCCAGCAGCCGCGGUAAUAC
rnacentral:rRNA from 1 species